UACGUAGGACGUCCUCUAAAGCAACUUCCGUGGUGCUAGGUUAGGGGCUAGGGGUGGUGCUGACCUUGAGAGGUGCGGGGAAGGCGCAGGCGCAGCACAGGUAGGUGGGCGGGCGGAGCGCCCUUGCCGUGCCUAAGACGAUUCUGAGGUAGGUUGGGUGGUUUCGGAAGGAGCGCAUUCUCCCUCUGGGAUAUGACGGAAGCACAAGUAGGUGGCUCGGGUGAGAGUCGACCCCUAUAUCCAGCGGAUUUAGUGAGGAUAAAGACCAUAUUGGGUCUUGUUCUUCCUGAUACAACGCCGUAAUUGCCUCGGUUUGUAGCCAGUGCCCUGUCUCACUGUACCCUUUCGCUUUUCUGAUUUCGUCCCUUUGGGGAGUCUCGCCUUCUCGUUAGACCUGUUGUCCUUCUGUGGUUUUCAUUUCCUGUCUUAGUGUGUUCAGCUCUACUCCCUCAGGUCAAUGGAAUCUGACCGUGAGAAGUUUCUUCAUUAUUCAGACACCAGCUGGAGCCAGAAGGACAUCUACGAAGAACGGAGUAACCAGGAAGAGAAUUCUACCUGUUCAUUAUAUUCCAAUGUGGACGUUUUCUUUUUGGCUAUUAAAAAAAAAAAGGAAACGAAAUUACCAAGUGGAAAGAAAGGAAAUUACCCCCAGUCAACUAUUUAUGCCUUUUUAUUAUAAUGAGAUAUAGUCCUGGAGGCAGGCUUGAAAUGGAGUCAAGUUUUGUCAUGAAGUUGGAACUGAGACCAGAAGCUAAGAAGCUUCAGAAGAAGUUAGAAAUGGUUAUGGAUUUUCAGUUUCACCCUUCUUACCAGAGUAUCUGAAGGGAAUGAUAUGAAUGUCGUAAACGACCCAAAGACCUUGGGAAUUAGAGGUCUGAACGAUCCAAAAGAAGCAGGCAUGGAGCAGUUGCUUUCUAUUAGAAAGGGGGUUCAGAGACUGGUUGUGUGAGUUAUGUUGUCUUUUACUUUAAAUUUUGUGUGUAUUGAGGGGAUACAUAGCAUUAUAAGGUGGGAAGAUACAGAAAUCCUAAAUACUGACAGAAACAGCUGGAAGCAGGAGGGGGCUGAGGAAUAGUUUGUAAAACAAAUUCUGCUGAGGAUCAAUCCAGAACUUCCCUGAGGGUUCAACUUCUGCUGUGUAGGGACUAGGUUGUAAAUAGACAAGCCCCAGGGCAUCUACAGAUGGUUAAGUGUGUUAGAGAGGGGUUGUAGUUGUCUGCUAGUGGAUCUGUGGGAAGCAGGUGCUAUCCUUGAGGAAGAAAAGGUGGAGAAGGAAAGUGGCUAUCAGCCUGUCAGUGACAACACAUCCUGUGAAGUCUUACUCUUUCAUUUCUGACAGUGUGGUUCUUCUUAUAUCUGUCCUCAACCUGGCAGCCUCAUUGAGGUUCACAAAGCAUCUCUUUCUAUGUGACAGUAACGUUGAAAUUAUUAUCAGGAUAGAUUCUCUUCUUGCCAGGGUAAACCAAGAAAAUAAAUAAUUUUUUGUUAUCUGCUUAUCAUUUUUUAUAUGCCAUGGGGUUCUAUAUUUGUUAUUAAGUAUAAAGCACAUUGAUAAAUA